GAAUCAUUAGUCCUCAAUCCUUUAUCUACUAAGUCGCCUGAUCAGCUACACUGGGAUCGAUUGCUUCGGUCUUCGCCGGCACAUUCCGGCAACACGCGUGUUUCCUCUCAUUCUAGUAAACGCGUUUACUGAGGAACACAAAAUCACUCCUGUGAUUAUUUCGGCCCAUUUGCAGAAAUGGUGACGGCCUCCGGAGACCCUGAAGUCUCCAUCGUCCUCAACAUCGAGGACACCGACCCGACCCAGCCACGAUCCAGCCAGCCGCCCCCCGAGGAAGACCUUUCCAAAACCCCCUCGAAGAAGAAGAAGAAAAAGAAGAGCAAAGAGGAGGCGGAGGCACCGAGCACCGACUCGUCCACCGUAGACGCACCCAGCGACGCUCCUCUCGCCGCCAAGACCGCCAAAAAGAUGAAGAGAGACAAACGGAGGGCCGAGGGGAAGCAGACGGAAGAAAAGGAGGAGGCAGAUCAGACGAUAGAGGAGGCGGAUGCCUCUUUGGCCACUUCACCGGAGGAGGAGAAGAAGAAGAAGAAGAAGGCUAAGAAAAGGAAGAUGGAGCAAGAGGUAGCGGAGGAGAAGGAAGAGGUCACGCCUUCAGAGAAGAAAAUCAAAAAGAAGAAGAAGAAGAUGAUUAAAAUGAACGGAGAGCAAGAAGAGAAUUCCUCAAAGGAAAACCAACCGCCGAAGAAGAAAAAGAAGAAGCAAACAGAGGAGGAGGAGGAAAAGGAGGAGAGCUCCGGACCUCCUGAGACGGCAUCGACUCCACUUCCAAAGGAAGGCAAGAAGAAGAAGAAGAUGAUGAUCAUGGCUGAAGAAGGCGAGGAGACGACUGACAGCCCCAUGCCCGUCACUUCUGCAAAGAAAAAGAAGAGGAACCGGUCGGAGGAGACGGAACCGGCUGCAGAGGAACAAACUCCUCCCGCUGCGAAGAAAAAGAAAACCCCCAAAAAGAUAAAAAUCGCCUCAGACGAUCUCUGAGCAAAUCUCGGAUUCCUCUGACCCGUCGCUGCUGGACCUGAAAACCCCGAAACAAGACAAUCUCCUUCAUGUUUGUGCCUUUACACCUGAAAUAAUAACUGUUCUCAUAAAAGUAUAUUCCUAAAGGACACAAUGUUUACGGUCCCGUUUCACUGUCGUCUCCUUUUUAAAGCUUCCUCUGCGUUUUUAUCUCGAAGCAGAGCUGCUGCGGUGGGAAGAAGAUGCAUUUCGAGCUUCCUCGUAUUGCCAAAGUCAUUUUUGAGGCCCGUACUGAUCAAUUUCAAUAUAAUACAUUUCUGGAUGCAUUUAGCGGUGACUUAUUUAGCGGCAUCCGUUUGCGGUUGCUAUGGAAACGUGGAGCAGCUUGGUAUUUGGGGCUGCAAAGACAUUUUCAAUCAAAGGUUAUUCAGGGUUGGAUGUUCCGCCCUUCAGGGAUUGCUGCUACGCUGCAGCAUUUAAUAAAACAAAUGCCAUCUGCAUCCCAUGCAAACUAAGCGGUGACGAACGGAAGCGCUGAAUAUCUUACUGUCGUUAAAGGUGUCCUCCGUUUAGGAUGUGCGUUAAGGGAAAAGCUGUGAAACAGACAAGGUCUUUGAAUCAUCUUCUGUUGGUUUAUAAAUGGAUAGUUCAUGUAUUUGUAGUGAAGAGGCGAAAAAGUAUGUUUCGUCUCGAGGGAGAAACUCGUGUUUUUACUUUUUUAGUAAGCUGUGAAAUGUUUGUUUUCACACUGUUUCCUUAAAACCAUUAACUAUGCAUCUGUUAAAGGCUCUGGGAUGAAAUACUUACUUAUCUGUUCUGAGAACUAACACGUGUGAGACAAUAAAAACUCCCAAACGCUUUAAUUGUCUUUUGCUUUACACUUGACAGAAGCUUCAUUCUUCGGAAGCAGGACACUGAAUUUUGUCACUUCACCUCGACAAGUCGUAAACACGGAGCUGCGUUUCUGCUGGACGGACGUCCACAAACGUCACACUUAAACUAUGCAUGUCAUCACAUUGUGAAAAUAGUUUUGAGGCUCAGGGACUAGAACUCAGAUUUAUGUACAAACUACAUCACGCAACUAUUUGUAACCCGUAAAACCUUUUCAUUAACUGCAGUAAUUCACUCAUUUAAUAUUGAUUCAUCAAGCUGAGCCAACGGCGUCUGUUUGCAAAACUUCUGUCCUCCGUUACGAACAAUUUUAACGCUUUAAAAUGUUUACUCUUCCUCAUGUAAUUGUUUCUUUCAAUAAACACUUUCUCUUAAA
ensembl:lncRNA